CGGUCCGCCGUCCCCAUACACUGAACACCCACAGGCGAAGACAACUCGAUUGUUAACGGGAUUACGGGAUUACGGGUUCGGCCGAUGGCGCAAGCCUUCGUCGGGCCCCUCCAUCCCAGGUGUCCCGGUACGGGUGCUUGCACCCAGCGGACAUCCCCGGAGUGCGUAGGAUGUGACCCGAAAGAUGGUGAACUAUGCCUGAUCAGGUCGAAGUCAGGGGAAACCCUGAUGGAGGACCGAAGCAAUUCUGACGUGCAAAUCGAUUGUCAGAGUUGGGCAUAGGGGCGAAAGACCAAUCGAACCAUCUAGUAGCUGGUUCCUUCCGAAA
rnacentral:rRNA from 1 species